rnacentral:rRNA from 1 species
AGAGCGAACGCUGGCGGCGUGCUUAACACAUGCAAGUCGAACGAGGUCUGUAGCAAUACAGAUACUCGUGGCGAACGGGUGCGUAACACGUGGAUAACCUUCCUUCAGGUGGGGAAUAACCCAGUGAAAAUUGGGCUAAUACCGCAUAACAUGACGAUGCCACAUGGUGUUGUCUUCAAAGGCGCAAGUCGCCAGAAGAGGGAUCCGCGGCCGAUUAGCUAGUUGGCGAGGUAAUGGCUCACCAAGGCAAUGAUCGGUAAC